rnacentral:rRNA from 1 species
CCUGGUGGCUAUAGCGUCGGUGUCCCACCCGAUCCCAUUCCGAACUCGGCCGUGAAACCCGACUGCGCCAAUGGUACUAUCGCUCAAGCGAUGGAAGAGUAGGUCGUCGCCAGGCAUUGAAGCCCGUGCAACAUGCAA